CAACUUUAAGGUCUAUGAUGUGCAAACACCAGAUACAGAACAUUGACACCAGGCUCACAUUUAAUACGAAGUGUUGGUGCUACAUAUUUCAAGGGAGCUCAUCAAUUUUUGUGUUUAAAAUUAAUCUUCAGGUGGACUACAUUCUUGGAGACAACCCAAGAGCUACAAGUUACAUGGUUGGAUAUGGAAACAAUUACCCUCAAAGAGUUCACCACAGAGGUUCAUCCAUUGUGUCAAUCAAGGCUAAUCCAAAUUUUGUCAGCUGUAAUGGAGGUUAUGCUACUUGGUUUAGCAGCAAAAAGAGCAACACCAAUAUACU
rnacentral:lncRNA from 1 species